UGAUGUAAUAUUUUAUUUAAUGUUUUUAGCAAAAUUAGGUUAUCAGCCGGGCCAACAUUUCGUGUCACCAAGCUGUCACUAUAAUUCCAGCUUGUUUAGAGUUUCUGUUCCCACUUCCUAACUAGUGCAGGUUAUAUGUCAGCAACCAGUAACGUACAUGGUAUUCAACAAAGGGCUCGAGAUGAUACUGAUCAGAGAAAUCGAAGUCCUAAAGAUCCCAUCGUCGAAGUGAUUACUCCUGAUGUAUACAAUAACUAUGGUGCAGAUGGUUCGAGGGAACCUUUUCCUGGGAUCUGGUCUCGGACAUUGAGAAUAAGAAUUACUGGACGAGAUGGAUUUGAGAAGCUCGAUGUUAGAAUACCUGUAAGUUACGUUACCAGUUCAGAUAUAUAAAAUACAUAUCUCUGAUGUCAUCCGUAUUUGUGUCUAUCCAAACUAACAUAGAAAGUGAAAAGAAAAAGAACUGAAGCACUGUUGUGGUUUCUUUAUCAAACUGCAGAUGAUGUCUUAAAUAUUUCUGUUAUGUUCAAUAAUAAAAAUAAAGCAGUAGUUGCGAAUAUUUUCAUUAGGAUCCUGACCCGUGGUAAUGACAUGAUAGCCUACUGAUGUCAAGAGAUGCAUGAACAGUUUAUGUGGGAGUUGGUUACUUCAGUGAUGCGAGAUUACCUACUCCUUAAAGAAUUGAUCAAGAUGGGAUUGGAGGAGAUUUCUGCAACCUUUCUUUUUGGAUUUUCAGUAUUUAGUCCUUUUACCAGAUCCAGAUCACAGUGUAUCAGUUUUUGUCUACUAUAGGAAUUUAUUUGAUGACCGAAAA